rnacentral:rRNA from 1 species
UGGGGAAUAUUGCACAAUGGGCGAAAGCCUGAUGCAGCGACGCCGCGUGAGGGAUGACGGCCUUCGGGUUGUAAACCUCUUUCAGCAGGGACGAAGCGCAAGUGACGGUACCUGCAGAAGAAGCACCGGCUAACUACGUGCCAUCAGCCGCGGUAAUACGUAGGGUGCAAGCGUUGUCCGGAAUUACUGGGCGUAAAGAGUUCGUAGGCGUUUUGUCGCGUCGUUUGUGAAAACCAGCAGCUCAACUGCUGGCUUGCAGGCGAUACGUGCUGACUUGAGCACUGCAGGGGAGACUGGAAUUCCUGGUGUAGCGGUGAAAUGCGCAGAUAUCAGGAUGAACACCGGUGGCGAAGGCGGGUCUCUGGGCAGUAACUGACGCUGAGGAACGAAAGCGUGGGUAGCGAACAGG